AGAGUUUGAUCAUGGCUCAGAGCGAACGCUGGCGGCAGGCCUAACACAUGCAAGUCGAGCGGGCGUAGCAAUACGUCAGCGGCAGACGGGAGAGUAACACGUGGGAACGCGCCCUUCGGUUCGGAAUAACUCAGGGAAACUUGAGCUAAUACCGGAUACGCCCUUACGGGGAAAGAUUUAUCGCCGAAGGAACGGCCCGCGUCCGAUUAGCUUGUUGGUGAGGUAACGGCUCACCAAGGCGACGAUCGGUAGCUGGUCUAAGAGGAUGAUCAGCCUCACUGGGACUGAGACACGGCCCAGACUCCUACGGGAGGCAGCAGUGGGGAAUAUUGGACAAUGGGCGCAAGCCUGAUCCAGCCAUGCCGCGUGAGUGAUGAAGGCCCUAGGGUUGUAAAGCUCUUUCAGCGGGGAAGAUAAUGACGGUACCCGCAGAAGAAGCCCCGGCUAACUUCGUGCCAGCAGCCGCGGUAAUACGAAGGGGGCUAGCGUUGCUCGGAAUUACUGGGCGUAAAGCGCACGUAGGCGGCUUGUUAAGUCGGGGGUGAAAUCCUGGAGCUCAACUCCAGAACUGCCUUCGAUACUGGCGAGCUUGAGUCCGGGAGAGGUGAGUGGAACUGCGAGUGUAGAGGUGAAAUUCGUAGAUAUUCGCAAGAACACCAGUGGCGAAGGCGGCUCACUGGCCCGGUACUGACGCUGAGGUGCGAAAGCGUGGGGGCAAACAGGAUUAGAUACCCUAGUAGUCC
rnacentral:rRNA from 1 species